CCUACGGGUGUCAGCAGUGAGGAAUAUUGGUCAAUGGGCGGGAGCCUGAACCAGCCAUGCCGCGUGAAGGCGAGUGCCCUACGGGCGUUAAACUUCUUUUGUGCGGGAGCAAUAAGGGCCACGUGUGGCCCGAUGAGAGUACCGCACGAAUAAGCAUCGGCUAACUCCGUGCCAGCAGCCGCGGUAAUACGGGGGGUGCAAGCGUUGUCCGGAAUCAUUGGGCGUAAAGAGUUCGUAGGCGGCACGUAAAGUCUGGUGUUAAAGGCAGAGGCUCAACUUCUGUACGGCACUGGAUACUUGCGAGCUAGAAUGCGGUAGAGGUAGAGGGAAUGCCUGGUGUAGCGGUGAAAUGCUGAGAUAUCAGGAGGAACAUCGGUGGCGUAAGCGCUUUACUGGGCCGUAAUUGACGCUGAGGAACGAAAGCCAGGGUAGCAAAUGGGAUUAGAUACCCUUGUAGUC
rnacentral:rRNA from 1 species